rnacentral:rRNA from 1 species
CCUACGGGUGACAGCAGUAGGGAAUAUUGCUCAAUGGGGGAAACCCUGACGCAGCAACGCCGCGUGGAGGAUGAAGGUUUUCGGAUUGUAAACUCCUUUUGUUAGAGAAGAUAAUGACGGUAUCUCACGAAUAAGCACCGGCUAACUCCGUGCCAGCAGCCGCGGUAAUACGGAGGGUGCAAGCGUUACUCGGAAUCACUGGGCGGAAAGAGCGCGUAGGCGGGUUAGCAAGUCAGAUGUGAAAUCCUAUGGCUUAACCAUAGAACUGCAGUUGAAACUGUUAUUCUAGAGUAUGGGAGAGGUAGGUGGAAUUCUUGGUGUAGGGGUAAAAUCCGUAGAGAUCAGGAGGAAUACU